GAAUAAACCCUCGUGUGAUUGCAUCGGUGUCGGCCCCUCGGUGGUCUCUCGGACGCGAAAACUCGGGUACAACACUGGGGGCUCAUGGAAGAGAUCUUCAGUUGGUCGUCUGAGAGUCGGCGAACCCCCUGAAAUGGUACGCAGAAUUUUGUGCGCUCAUUUUCCUCAGGUUCCUAUGUCUUUGUCACAUACCCAGCAGAGUCACUGGCUGCCAGAAAGGUUCAGAACCACUGCUUUGGUCCCUGGUUAGUUCCCAGGAGUCGCUUCUGUGACCACAAAGCGCUCCUUGUACAAAAGGAUGGGGUGAGAGCUGACCUGAAUUCCAGAGGUCUUUGGUUUUACCCUCAAAAAACAAAAGUUUAAUUUACUUUUUUUUUCCUUUCUUUUCCUUUUUUUAAUUCAGGGUAAGAAAGAUGAAAAUAUCCACAAUAUUCACAAAUUACCCCUCUGGAGCUAGAAAGGAAGAAAGGGAUGGGUACAAAGGGGAGUAUGUGUGUGUUGCUUCCUACGUGUCCCUAUUAGACCCAGAAUUAAAGUCCUAUCACUUGUGACUCACUGUAAGGAAAUGCCUUAAUUUUACUAAUCCUCUCUCUGCCAGCAUGAGCCUAUGGAACCGAGGAAGGAAUUUUUGGAAAUUGACCCCAAACAAGAUUCUAUGACAACAGAACCUUUGGACAGACAGUUUGAUCUGAGGGAGUGUGGAUCCCCUUCUAGAAUACAUGCCCUUUCCUCUCCUGCUCUGUGGGGCAGCACAGCAGCGAGGCACCUGGACAGCACCCUCCAGCCCAUGCACUUGGACAGUUUUCUCAAGAUUCUUUGAAGAGCAGGCUUCAUUCCUCUGUUCGCUGGCAGAAGAAAAUCUGACUUUCCCCAGAAGUACGUGCUCUUCUCCGUUCCCACGCUCUCCCCUGGCUCCCAAUUUCCAGGAGAUGGUAAAGGACAAAGAAGAGGUCUCCAGACUGGGUCAUUUUUGCAACAAGCUUUUAUUUCUUUUUUUAAAAUCCAUAUAAGAAAGACAUGUAAAAGGAAAAUAUCCUCAAAACAAACACGUACGCACAGGGCAACACAAGGAUAGAAGGCACUACCAGCAGUCAUACCCACCUCUGGGGGAAGGGAUACUUUAUACAGACUGGUCGCCGAGGCUCGGACCUCAGCAUGGUCCUGGGUCUAACUGUGCUUUAGAUAAAGUCAGAAUUUUCCCAGAAUUUUCUCAUUUCAUAAACACCCCUAUCUCUUUAUAUAUAGCUAUAUGCCUUUAUGUAUAUAUACAUGACUAUUUUCCUUCUCAAAAAUAAAAAUAGCCAUCCCCAUCGAGGGAGGUUCUCAGCAGCA